GAUUCAGUUCUUGCACUGGUGUGCAAAGAGCCAACCCAGAACAAGCCAGAUCUUCAUCUCUUCCAGUGUGAUGAGGUUAAGGCAAACCUAAUUAGUGAAGAUAUUGAAAGUGCAAUCAGUGACAGUAAAGGAGGGAAACAGAAGAGGCGGCCCGACGCCCUGAGGAUGAUUUCCAAUGCAGACCCUAGUAUACCGCCUCCACCCAGAGCUCCUGCCCCUGCGCCCCCUGGGACCGUCACCCAGGUGGAUGUUAGAAGUCGAGUGGCAGCCUGGUCUGCAUGGGCAGCCGACCAAGGGGACUGUGAGUCUUCCUAGAAUUAAUACUUAUUGAACACUUACUUUGGGUUGGGACAUAGUUCUUGCUUUCAAAUUCUGAUGCUGAUUUCAGAACUGAAGCUUGAGGUUAGUUUUUAAAAAAUCAACUCUGGCCGGGCGCAGUGGCUCAUGCCUGUAAUCCCAGUGCUUUGGGAGGCCGAGGCGGGCGGAUCACCUGAGGUCAGGAGUUUGAGACCAGCAUGACCAAUAUGAUGAAACCCCGUCUCUAUUAAAAAUACAAAAAUUAGGUGGGUGUGGUGGCAUGCGCCUAUAAUCCUAGCUACUGGGAUGGUUGAGACAGGAGAAUCACUUGAACCGGGAGGCGGAGGUUGCAGUAAGCUGAGAUCACGCCAUUGCACCCCAGCCUGGACAACAAGACCAAAACUCCAUUUC
rnacentral:lncRNA from 1 species